rnacentral:rRNA from 1 species
GACCCCGCACAAGCGGCGGAGCAUGCGGCUUAAUUCGAUGAUACCCGUAGAACCUUACCAGGACUUAAAUGUAAGUUGCAUGAUUCAGAAAUGAAUCUUUCUUCGGACUACUUACAAGGUGCUGCAUGGUUGUCGUCAGCUCGUGCCGUGAGGUGUCAGGUUAAGUCCUAUAACGAGCGCAACCCCUAUCGUUAGUUGCCAUCAAGUAAAGUUGGGAACUCUAGCGAAACUGCCGGUGCAAACCGAGAGGAAGGUGGGGAUGACGUCAAAUCAUCACGGCCCUUACGUUCUGGGCUACACACGUGCUACAAUGGUCGGUACAGAAAGCAGCCACUAUGCGAAUAGGAGCUAAUCUUUAAAACCGAUCUCAGUUCGGAUCGCAGUCUGCAACUCGACUGCGUGAAGCUGGAAUCGCUAGUAAUCGGAUAU